GACGAACGCUGGCGGCGUGCUUAACACAUGCAAGUCGAACGGUGAAGCGCCUUCCUUUUUGGUGGGUGUGGAUGAGUGGCGAACGGGUGAGUAACACGUGAGUAACCUGCCCCCUUCUUCUGGAUAACCGCAUGAAAGUGUGGCUAAUACGGGAUAUUCUGGGUCUGUCGCAUGAUGGGUCUGGGAAAGAUAUUGUUUCGGUGGGGGAUGGGCUCGCGGCCUAUCAGCUUGUUGGUGGGGUGAUGGCCUACCAAGGCGGUGACGGGUAGCCGGCCUGAGAGGGUGGACGGUCACACUGGGACUGAGACACGGCCCAGACUCCUACGGGAGGCAGCAGUGGGGAAUAUUGCACAAUGGGCGCAAGCCUGAUGCAGCGACGCCGCGUGAGGGAUGGAGGCCUUCGAGUUGUGAACCUCUUUCGCCAGUGAAGCAGGCCUGCCUCGUUUGUGGGUGGGUUGACGGUAGCUGGAGAAGAAGCGCCGGCUAACUACGUG
rnacentral:rRNA from 1 species